AGAACGAACGCUGGCGGCAUGCCUAACACAUGCAAGUCGAACGCCUGUAGCAAUACAGGAGUGGCGCACGGGUGAGUAACGCGUGGGAACCUACCCUGGAGUGGGGGGAUAACCGAGGGAAACUUCGGCUAAAUACCUCAUACGACCUGAGGGUGAAAGAUUUAUCGCUCUAGGAGGGGCCCGCGUCGGAUUAGCUAGUUGGUGAGGUAACGGCCCACCAAGGCGAUGAUCCGUAGCUGGUCUGAGAGGAUGAUCAGCCACACUGGGACUGAGACACGGCCCAGACUCCUACGGGAGGCAGCAGUGGGGAAUAUUGGACAAUGGGGGCAACCCUGAUCCAGCAAUGCCGCGUGAGUGAUGAAGGCCUUAGGGUUGUAAAGCUCUUUCGGCGGGGACGAUGAUGACGGUACCCGCAGAAGAAGCCCCGGCUAACUUCGUGCCAGCAGCCGC
rnacentral:rRNA from 1 species